GCAUAUCAAUAAGCGGAGGAAAAGAAACCAACAGGGAUUGCCCUAGUAACGGCGAGUGAAGCGGCAACAGCUCAAAUUUGAAAUCUGGCCCUCGUGGUCCGAGUUGUAAUUUGUAGAGGAUGCUUUUGGUGCGGUGCCUUCCGAGUUCCCUGGAACGGGACGCCAGAGAGGGUGAGAGCCCCGUACGGUUGGACACCUACCCUAUAUAUAGCUCCUUCGACGAGUCGAGUAGUUUGGGAAUGCUGCUCUAAAUGGGAGGUAAAUUUCUUCUAAAGCUAAAUACCGGCCAGAGACCGAUAGCGCACAAGUAGAGUGAUCGAAAGAUGAAAAGCACUUUGAAAAGAGGGUUAAAUAGCACGUGAAAUUGUUGAAAGGGAAGCGUUUGCGACCAGACUUUUUCCAGGGGGAUCAUCCGGUGUUCUCACCGGUGCACUCCGCCUGGUUUAGGCCAGCAUCGGUUCUCUUAGGGGGAUAAAGGCUUGGGGAACGUAGCUCCUUCGGGAGUGUUAUAGCCCCUUGCGUAAUACCCUUCGGGGGACCGAGGAUCGCGCUCUGCAAGGAUGCUGGCGUAAUGGUCGUCAACGACCCGUCUUGAAACACGGACCAAGGAGUCGAACAUUUGUGCGAGUGUUUGGGUGUUAAACCCUCACGCGUAAUGAAAGUGAACGGAGGUGAGAGCCCUUACGGGUGCAUCAUCGACCGAUCCUGAUGUCUUCGGAUGGAUUUGAGUAAGAGCAUAACUGUUCGGACCCGAAAGAUGGUGAACUAUGCGUGGAUAGGGUGAAGCCAGAGGAAACUCUGGUGGAGGCUCGCAGCGGUUCUGACGUGCAAAUCGAUCGUCAAAUCUGCGCAUGGGGGCGAAAGACUUAUCGAACCAUCUAGUAGCUGGUUACCGCCGA
rnacentral:rRNA from 1 species